UACGUAGGAGGCGAGCGUUGUCCGGAAUACUGGGCGUAAAGCGUGCGCAGGCGGUUAUGUAAGACAGGUGUGAAAUCCCCGGGCUUAACCUGGGAACUGCAUUUGUGACUGCAUAGCUAGAGUACGGUAGAGGGGGAUGGAAUUCCGCGUGUAGCAGUGAAAUGCGUAGAUAUGCGGAGGAACACCGAUGGCGAAGGCAAUCCCCUGGACCUGUACUGACGCUCAUGCACGAAAGCGUGGGGAGCAAACAGG
rnacentral:rRNA from 1 species